rnacentral:misc_RNA from 1 species
AAGUCGUAACAAGGUUUCCGUAGGUGAACCUGCGGAAGGAUCAUUAACACAAUUUUACUGUGAUAAAUCCGUUGAAUUCUCGAAUUCAAUGGUAUCCACCCCAUUAUUGACGAACUUUUCUAGAUGUUAAAACAUAGAGCUAGUCUUUAUGUUUUUAACAUUCUAAACCUUUUUCUAUAUCCACACAAAUUUAAACCCCUUUUACAACAUGUAUUAGACUGAAAUGAAAAUUUUCUAUCAAAAAAUUUGAUAAAAACAACUUUUAACAACGGAUAUCUUGGCUCUC